GUGAAGCCACAGAAUGCUUACACUGCAAGUCACACAGUUUUUUGUACUGGGUGGCACACGGGUGAGUAACGCGUAAAAAACUUGCCUCUUAGACCGUGACAACAUUUAGAAACGGAUGCUAAUACCGGAAUUAUGGUUUUUUCGCCUGGAGGAAUCAUGAAGCUAGAUGCGCUAAGAGAGAGCUAUGAGUCCCCUUAGCUGGUUGGUGAGGUAACGGCCCACAAGGCAUGAUGGGUAGCCGGCCUGAGCGGGUGAACGGCCACAAGGGGACUGAGACACGGCCCUUACUCCUCCGAGAGGCAGCAGUGGGGAAUAUUGGACAAUGGACCGCAAGUCUGAUCCAGCAAUUCUGUGUGCACGAUGACGUUUUUCGGAAUGUAAAGUGCUUUCAGUCGGGAAGAAGUCAGUGACGGUACCGACAGAAGAAGCGACGGCUAAAUACGUGCCAGCAGCCGCGGUAAUACGUAUGUCGCAAGCGUUAUCCGGAUUUAUUGGGCGUAAAGCGCGUCUGGCGGCAAGGAAAGUCUGAUGUGAAAAUGCGGAGCUCAACUCCGUAGGCGUUGGAAACUGCCUUACUAGAGUACGGAGAGGUAGGCGGAACUACAAGUGUAGAGGUGAAAUUCGUAGAUAUUUGUAGGAAUGCCGAUGGGGAAGCCAGCCUACUGGACAGAUACUGACGCUAAAGCGCGAAAGCGUGGGUAGCAAACAGG
rnacentral:rRNA from 1 species